rnacentral:rRNA from 1 species
GAGACUCUGUGCGCGUGCAUAUCAAUAAGCGGAGGAAAAGAAACUAGCAAGGAUUCCCUUAGUAACGGCGAGUGAAGCGGGAAGAGCUCAAAUUUGAAAUCUUCAAGGUUUUACCUUGGCGAAUUGUAGUUUAAAGAAGUGUUUUCUGUUGAAGUUUUGGUAAAAGUUCUUUGGAAUAGGACAUCAUAGAGGGUGAGAAUCCCGUAUUUGACCAUUAUUUUCAGCUGUGUGAUACACUUUCAAAGAGUCGGAUUGUUUGGGAAUGCAGUCCAAAAUGGGUGGUAAAUUUCAUCUAAAGCUAAAUAUUGGCGAGAGACCGAUAGCGUACAAGUACCGUGAGGGAAAGAUGAAAAGAACUUUGAAAAGAGAGUUAAACAGUACGUGAAAUUGUCAAAAGGGAAGCGUUUGACACCAGUGUUGUUUUCUCGAAAAUCAAUUAAAAAGAGUUGGAUUUUGUGUUGUAUUGACCUUAACAGCUUUCUUCACUCUUUUCCUGCUUUUUUUAAUGCACUUUUCGUUUAACAAGUCAACAUCAGUUUCUUUUGUUGUAAAAGGGUCAUUGGAAGGUGGCUUUCUUUUCGGAGAAAGUGUUUAUAGCCUUUGAUCUCUGCAAUCGGAGAGACUGAGGUCUGCAGCGUAGAUCCUUCGGGGUUAGAUACAUUUGUGCUAAGUUAUAACUUUUCAUAGACAACUUGUUGACUAUGUUUAGUCAUGUAGCUUACUCGCUUAUGCUAUUUUACCUACGCUUAGGAUGUUGAAUCUGUGCGAGACUAC